rnacentral:rRNA from 1 species
GAUGAACGCUGGCGGCGUGCCUAACACAUGCAAGUCGAGCGAUUUACUUCGGUAAAGAGCGGCGGACGGGAGAGUAACGCGUGGGUAACCUGCCCUGUACACACGGAUAACAUACCGAAAGGUAUGCUAAUACGAGAUAAUAUGCUUUUAUCGCAUGGUAGAAGUAUCAAAGCUUUUGCGGUACAGGAUGGACCCGCGUCUGAUUAGCUAGUUGGUGAGGUAACGGCUCACCAAGGCGACGAUCAGUAGCCGACCUGAGAGGGUGAUCGGCCACAUUGGAACUGAGACACGGUCCAAACUCCUACGGGAGGCAGCAGUGGGGAAUAUUGCACAAUGGGCGAAAGCCUGAUGCAGCAACGCCGCGUGAGCGAUGAAGGCCUUCGGGUCGUAAAGCUCUGUCCUCAAGGAAGAUAAUGACGGUACUUGAGGAGGAAGCCCCGGCUAACUACGUG